rnacentral:rRNA from 1 species
UACGUAUGGGGCAAGCGUUAUCCGGAUUUACUGGGUGUAAAGGGAGCGUAGGCGGCGGGGCAAGCCUGAUGUGAAAGCCCGGGGCUCAACCCCGGGACUGCAUUGGGAACUGCCCUGCUGGAGUGCCGGAGGGGCAGGCGGAAUUCCUAGUGUAGCGGUGAAAUGCAUAGAUAUUAGGAGGAACACCAGUGGCGAAGGCGGCCUGCUGGACGGUGACUGACGCUGAGGCUCGAAAGCGUGGGGAGCAAACAGG